rnacentral:rRNA from 1 species
UACCCGCUGAACUUAAGCAUAUCAAUAAGCGGAGGAAAAGAAACUAACAAGGAUUCCCCUAGUAACGGCGAGUGAAGCGGGAAAAGCUCAAAUUUGUAAUCUGGCACUUUCAGUGUCCGAGUUGUAAUCUCGAGAAGUAUUUUCCGCGCCGGACCGCACAUAAGUCUGUUGGAACACAGCGUCAUAGUGGUGAGAACCCCGUAUAUGGUGCGGAUGCCCGGUGCUUUGUGAUAUACUUUCGAAGAGUCGAGUUGUUUGGGAUUGCAGCUCAAAUUGGGUGGUAAAUUCCAUCUAAAGCUAAAUAUUGGCGAGAGACCGAUAGCGAACAAGUACCGUGAGGGAAAGAUGAAAAGCACUUUGGAAAGAGAGUUAACAGUACGUGAAAUUGUUGGAAGGGAAACGCUUGAAGUCAGACUUGCAUUUUGGAGUUCAGCCGCAAGGUGUAUUCUUCAAUUCGCAGGCCAGCAUCAGUUUUCGGGGGUGGAAAAUCGUGGUUUGAAGGUAGCAAUUUCGGUUGUGUUAUAGCUUUCCGCUGGAUUCACUUUUGGGGACUGAGGAACGCAGUACGCUUUUUGCAAGACUUUCGAGUUUUUCGUACUUAGGAUGCUGGUGGAAUGGCUUUAAACGACCCGUCUUGAAACACGGACCA